CCCUUAGAUGUUCUGGGCCGCACGCGCGCUACACUGAUGCAUUCAACGAGUCUAAAACCUGCUCUGAUAGGGGCGGGUAAUCUUUGAAUCUGCAUCGUGACGGGGAUAGAUUAUUGCAAUUAUUAAUCUUCAACGAGGAAUGCCUAGUAGGCGCAAGUCAUCAGCUUGCGUCGAUUACGUCCCUGCCCUUUGUACACACCGCCCGUCGCUCCUACCGAUUGGGUGUGCUGGUGAAAUGUUCGGAUCGGCCGUUUGUCGCGGUUUCCGCGUCAUGUGGCUGAGAAGUUCAUUAAACCCUCCCACCUAGAGGAAGGAGAAGUCAUAACA
rnacentral:rRNA from 1 species